AUUGAACGCUGGCGGCAUGCUUUACACAUGCAAGUCGAACGGUAACAGGCCGCAAGGUGCUGACGAGUGGCGAACGGGUGAGUAAUGCAUCGGAACGUGCCCAGUCGUGGGGGAUAACGCAGCGAAAGCUGCGCUAAUACCGCAUACGAUCUAUGGAUGAAAGCGGGGGACCGAAAGGCCUCGCGCGAUUGGAGCGGCCGAUGUCAGAGUAGGUAGUUGGUGGGGUAAAGGCGCACCAAGCCAACGAUCUGGAGCUGGUCUGAGAGGACGACCAGACACACUGGGACUGAGACACGGCCCAGACUCCUACGGGAGGCAGCAGUGGGGAAUUUUGGACAAUGGGCGCAAGCCUGAUCCAGCAAUACCGCGUGCAGGAAGAAGGCCUUCGGGUUGUAAACUGCUUUUGUACGGAACGAAACGGUCCGGGUUAAUACCCUGGGCUAAUGACGGUACCGUAAGAAUAAGCACCGGCUAACUACGUGCCAGCCGCCGCGGUAACAC
rnacentral:rRNA from 1 species